UACGGGGGGGGCAAGCGUUGUUCGGAAUUACUGGGCGUAAAGGGCUCGUAGGUGGCCAACUAAGUCAGACGUGAAAUCCCUCGGCUUAACCGGGGAACUGCGUCUGAUACUGGAUGGCUUGAGUUCGGGAGAGGGAUGCGGAAUUCCAGGUGUAGCGGUGAAAUGCGUAGAGAUCCGGAGGAACACCAGUGGCGAAAGCGGCCACCUGGACUGCACCUGACGCUGAAACGCGAAAGCUAGGGGAGCGAACGGG
rnacentral:rRNA from 1 species